rnacentral:rRNA from 1 species
UACGAAGGGGGCUAGCGUUGUUCGGAAUUACUGGGCGUAAAGCGCACGUAGGCGGACAUUUACGUCAGGGGUGAAAUCCCGGAGCUCAACUCCGGAACUGCCUUUGAUACUGGGUGUCUUGAGUGUGGAAGAGGUGAGUGGAAUUCCGAGUGUAGAGGUGAAAUUCGUAGAUAUUCGGAGGAACACCAGUGGCGAAGGCGGCUCACUGGUCCAUUACUGACGCUGAGGUGCGAAAGCGUGGGGAGCAAACAGG